AAUCAACGCUGGCGGCGCGCUUAACACAUGCAAGUCGCACGAGAAAGGGAGCAAUCCUGAGUAAAGUGGCGUACGGGUGAGUAACACGUGGGAAUCUACCUCUUGGCGGGGAAUAACCCUGGGAAACCGGGGCUAAUACCGCAUAAGCCCGUGAGAGGAAAGCAGCAAUGCACCGAGAGAGGAGCCCGCGGCCGAUUAGCUAGUUGGUGGGGUAAUGGCUCACCAAGGCGAAGAUCGGUAGCCGGCCUGAGAGGGCACACGGCGACACUGGCACUGAAACACGGGGCAGACUCCUACGGGAGGCAGCAGUGGGGAAUCUUGCACAAUGGGGGAAACCCUGAUGCAGCGACGCCGCGUGAGCGAUGAAGCCCUUCGGGGUGUAAAGCUCUUUCGACAGGAACGAUAAUGACGGUACCUGGAGAAGAAGCUGCGGCUAACUACGUG
rnacentral:rRNA from 1 species